rnacentral:rRNA from 2 species
CCACGCCUGUCCGAGGGUCGGCU